CUUUAGGUCUUCCAACUUUAAUAAUUCCAAAAGCUUGUUUUCUCGACAUUUUAUGCUCAAAAACAAGUAAACUUUCCGCGUUUAGUUGGGUACCAUUAUCUCACUGCUUGAACGAGUAAUGACUAAAGAGACUUCAGAUACAGAAUCUAGAUGAGUUAUUCUGGGUCUUCCGCCCAUUAUCUUGUCUUUGUGAAGCAUACUUUUGCUAUUACAAGGGACGAAUUAUGGCCUAGUCAGGCUAGUCGCCCAUUGUGGCGAUGGAAAAUAACAGCUAGAGUAUACUAGUAUCCGGAUUCCUCCGCUUUCUAGGGUAAAUAGCUUGAUUUCCCGGGAACGGAAGUUUCCUAUCCCUUUCAUUUACUCUAAUAUCUAUGACCGGAUGUAAUUAACUGAUAGGUUUUGCCAGAAGAAUGGAUUGGAUAUGAUUGUAAGGAGUCACGAGGUGAAGGAGGAAGGUUAUGACUCUCAUGCUUCACAGUUUCAGGUAGAAUUUGCUAUUGAAAUGGAAUAUCAUUUUUAUAUAGGUGGAAGACAAUAACUAUUAGCGUUGCAAGCAGAGUUGCUUAGUGCUGAGCAACUCUUUACAAUGAUGUACAAGCAUUGAAAACUGAGGGAUUUGCAAAAAAGUGUGGCAUUCCUAGCCCAGGAUAACUACUUUUUAGGCUAGAUUCUAAAGCUCAAUAUAAGGCUAUUUCAAAGGGUCUCCUUAUCUUUAAAAAGCAGUGAUUUCAAGGAUAUUGAACUAUUAUAAUUUUAAUUGUGUAAUUAAAUUAAAUCAGUAUCUCAGUAUAGUGUUGCAUGCAAUAGCACUGAUAAAAAUUAAUCAUAAAA